GCGAACGAACCCAAGUGGAUCAAGGGAAUGGAUUGUGAAUCC
rnacentral:tRNA from 1 species